rnacentral:tRNA from 1 species
GCCUGGGUGGCUCAGUUGGUUGAGCGUCCGACUUCAGCUCAGGUCAUGAUCUCAUGGUCCAGUCCGUGGGUUCAAGCCCCUCAUCGGGCU